rnacentral:rRNA from 1 species
GGCGGACGGGUGAGUAAAGCGUAGGGAUCUGCCUUGUUGAGCGGGAUAGCCUAGGGAAACUUAGGGUAAUACCGCGUAAGCCUGGAAGGGGAAAGUCGGGGACUGUAAAAGGCCUGGCGCGAUGAGAUGAACUUACGUCGGAUUAGCUGGUUGGUGAGGUAAAGGCUCACCAAGGCGAUGAUCCAUAGCUGGUCUGAGAGGAUGGCCAGCCACACUGGGACUGAGACACGGCCCAGACUCCUACGGGAGGCAGCAGUGGGGAAUAUUGGACAAUGGGCGCAAGCCUGAUCCAGCAAUACCGCGUGUGUGAAGAAGGCCCGAGGGUUGUAAAGCACUUUCAAUGGGGAGGAAAAAGCGCAGGCCAACACCCUGUGUAUUGACAUUACCCAUACAAGAAGCACCGGCUAACUCCGUGCCAGCAGCCGCGGUAAUACGGAGGGUGCGAGCGUUAAUCGGAAUUACUGGGCGUAAAGCGUGCGUAGGCGGCCUGCCAAGCCAGGUGUGAAAGCCCCGGGCUCAACCUGGGAACGGCACUUGGAACUGGCAAGCUAGAGUUGGGUAGAGGGGAGUGGAAUUUCAGGUGUAGCGGUGAAAUGCGUAGAUAUCUGAAGGAACACCAGUGGCGAAGGCGGCUCCCUGGACCCAAACUGACGCUGAGGUACCAAAGCGUGGGUAGCAAACAGGAUUAGAUACCCUGGUAGUCCACGCCGUAAACGAUGUCGACUAGCCGUUGGGCCCUUCUAGGGCUUAGUGGCGCAGCUAACGCAUUAAGUCGACCGCCUGGGGAGUACGGCCGCAAGGUUAAAACUCAAAUGAAUUGACGGGGGCCCGCACAAGCGGUGGAGCAUGUGGUUUAAUUCGAUGCAACGCGAAGAACCUUACCUAC